UACACUCGCACGCACUCUGGUGCUCGCGCGCGCGAUUCAUUCUGCGUGCGCAGUUAAACGGGAAUCAGGGAGCCAUCCCGCCUGGGGCAUGGCCAACCUGAACUGCACCCGCAACGGUACAACGAGCGCGGCGUUCGCACGAACGCUGCAAGCCGCUUCCAUGCUUCAAGCAGUCCACGCCACUGUGCGAGCCGGCCGCAAGGCCGCCCGCGCGGGAAGGCGAAGCGGCGUUUCGUCAGUCCGGAUACCGGCCAGAUACGUGGGAUUCGCG
rnacentral:ncRNA from 1 species